GGGAGCCACAUACAGGAUGAAGGAAGUUAUCCCGCUGACCGUUUGUCAGGGUUCCAUCUUAAAUUUCGUGGAUACGUGAGCUUUCAUUUCUGAACAAAAUCAGAAUCUACUAAAGACUCUGAACCAGUCUUCAACAGCUCAGCAUCAGAUUUGGGUCCUCUGAAGCGUGGGCCGCCUGCAGCCCUGCAAGGCCCACAACUCACCUGCGUAGACGUGCCAGCCUGGGGCCCUGCUGGAGCCGGUCACCGGCCUGGACUCAGCGUUUCUCAGCCUCAGCAUGUGCACGGUUUAGGCCAAAUCAUCUUUGUCGUGGGGCACAGGACACUGUGUGUUGUGGGAUGUUUGGCAGCAUCCCUGGCCUCUGCCAUUGGUGCUGUUAUCCCAGGCCCCUUUCCCCAGUGGGGACAACCGAAAGUGCCUCCAGACACUGCUGAAUGUCCCCUGGAGGUCACAGUCCUCCUGAUGGAGAACUACCCAUUGUCUACUCUCGUCUGUGCCCUUAGGCAGGAAGCCAAGAGAGCUGUGGGGGCCGAGGAGCAGCUGCUCUCUUCUGAGACUGGAGGAGACAUCACCUGUGAACACCACCCGCUUUAGGCAAUGAGACUGAAGUCUCCUUCCUCAGCCCACAUAGUCACGACCCAUGGAAACGGACACCACGGAUGGCGGUGGGCUGCGCGAUGGUUUCUCGCCUACUUGCUUCAACCAUCUGGCAUCUGAACACGGCUUUGUCUCAAGAACUCCACCCUCCAGAAGCACGGAAUGGCGAGGAGACAGAUACGGGAAGGCCAGGCACAGGAGGCAGUUGAUGGAGAUGCCUUCCAAAUAUUGGACUCCUAGCAAGAAUCUCUGCCUGAAAAUACAGAUAAAGACUUGGAAAGACCUGCCAGUCAGACAAGCAGCCCACGGGAAGCCUGUGCACAUCCAUGUCAGGUCCGAAGAGACUUCUGUUUCACCAGCCUACCGAGAUUCCAGAGUGCUCAGGGAUACAAACAAAGACGUGAACGGAUUGAAGAGCCAUUGGUGCAGUCGAGGAGAAGGGACGGACAAACCUGUGGACUUGGAUGCCUCUGAGAAGCCUUCAAGGCUCCACAGAGGCUGCCAGCUCUGA
rnacentral:lncRNA from 1 species